GCCGGUGUGGUGGAAUUGGCAGACACGCAUGGUUUAGGACCAUGUGCCGUAAGGCGUGAAGGUUCGACUCCUUUCACCGGCA
rnacentral:tRNA from 1 species